GGCGAACGGGUAGAGGUAACACGUGGGAAACCUACCUCUUAGUAGCGGAUAACAUUUGGAAACAAAUGCUAAUACCGUAUAAUAAUUAAAACCGCAUGGUUUUAGUUUAAAAGAUGGUCUUGCUAUCACUAAGAGAUGGUCCCGCGGUGUAUUAGUUAGUUGGUGAGGUAAUGGCUCACCAAGACAAUGAUACAUAGCCGAGUUGAGAGACUGACCGGCCACAAUGGGACUGAGACACGGCCCAUACUCCUACGGGAGGCAGCAGUAGGGAAUCUUCCACAAUGGACGAAAGUCUGAUGGAGCAACGCCGCGUGUGUGAUGAAGGGUUUCGGCUCGUAAAACACUGUUGUAAGAGAAGAAUGACAUUGAGAGUAACUGUUCAAUGUGUGACGGUAUCUUACCAGAAAGGAACGGCUAAAUACGUG
rnacentral:rRNA from 1 species